rnacentral:rRNA from 1 species
UACAGAGGGUGCAAGCGUUGUUCGGAAUUAUUGGGCGUAAAGGGCUUGUAGGCGGUUUGUCGCGUCUGCCGUGAAAAUUCGAGGCUCAACCUCGAACUUGCGGUGGGUACGGGCAGACUAGAGUGUGGUAGGGGAGACUGGAAUUCCUGGUGUAGCGGUGAAAUGCGCAGAUAUCAGGAGGAACACCAGUAGCGAAGGCGGCACUCUGGGCCGGUACUGACGCUGAGGAGCGAAAGCGUGGGGAGCGAACAGG